rnacentral:rRNA from 1 species
ACGGAGGGUGCAAGCGUUAAUCGGAUUUAUUGGGCGUAAAGGGCGCGUAGGCUGAUGGAUAAGUCGGGUGUGAAAUCCUGGGGCUCAACCUCAGGGCGGCACCUGAAACUAUUUGUCUAGAGGAUAGGCGGAGAAAACGGAAUUCCACAAGUAGCGGUGAAAUGCGUAGAUAUGUGGAAGAACACCGGUGGCGAAGGCGGUUUUCUGGCUUACUCCUGACGCUGAGGCGCGAAAGUUAGGGGAUCAAACAG